GUUUAUUAUACUGACUGGGCUGAACAUUCUGCCCAUGGUCACCCUGAAGCAAGAAGUAUGAACCUGAAGGACUGGCAGCAAACAACAAAUAACUAAGUGAAAUAAUGAUUAAUCUUGUAUGACAUUUGUUUUACUUGUGCCAAUUCUAAGUCACAAUUCACGGACCUCCCGGUCAGUUUACGACAGAGCCUGGGCGUGAACCCAGGGUCUCUGGUGGCAAACCCAGGGUCUCUGGUGGCACAGCUGGCGCUGCAGUACAGGGCCCUUAACCACUGUGCCACCCGGAAAAUAAUGAUAUUUUGACACUGUCUCAAAAGUGCAAAUAAGGAAAUUAAAUACAGAAUACAUUAAAUACAGAAUACGGGUUCUUCUACUGAGAAAUAGUAAUAAAGUUGCAUACAAUUUUUUGUAGCAGUUUGUCAAAGAGAAAGCUAAUUAUCAUGACAGAUGUUUUACUUACAAUUGCAUUAUACAAAAUGACAUUUGAAAAUGUAGGUUAUAUUUUAAUCUGACUUGUAUCUGAUUUAAAUGAAUUUAAACAUG